rnacentral:rRNA from 1 species
AGCUGGCCGGCGUGCCUAAUACAUGCAAGUCGAGCGGAACGUUUGGAGCUUGCUCCAACCGUUUAGCGGCGGACGGGUGAGUAACACGUGGGCAACCUGCCCUGCAGAUCGGGAUAACUCCGGGAAACCGGUGCUAAUACCGAAUAGUUUGGGGCCUCUCCUGAGGCCCNACGGAAAGACGGUUUCGGCUGUCACUGCAGGAUGGGCCCGCGGCGCAUUAGCUAGUUGGUGGGGUAACGGCCCACCAAGGCGACGAUGCGUAGCCGACCUGAGAGGGUGAUCGGCCACACUGGGACUGAGACACGGCCCAGACUCCUACGGGAGGCAGCAGUAGGGAAUCUUCCGCAAUGGACGCAAGUCUGACGGAGCAACGCCGCGUGAGUGACGAAGGUUUUCGGAUCGUAAAACUCUGUUGUGAGGGAAGAACAAGUACCAACUAACUACUGGUACCUUGACGGUACCUCACCAGAAAGCCACGGCUAACUACGUGCCAGCAGCCGCGGUAAUACGUAGGUGGCAAGCGUUGUCCGGAAUUAUUGGGCGUAAAGCGCGCGCAGGCGGUCCCUUAAGUCUGAUGUGAAAGCCCACGGCUCAACCGUGGAGGGUCAUUGGAAACUGGGGGACUUGAGUGCAGAAGAGGAAAGUGGAAUUCCACGUG